CAUAGUUGAAGGAAAAGGGCAAGAAGCUGGUGAAGAAGAUACUGUGCAGUUCAAUUAUGUAUGCCGACGAUCAAAUGGAUAUUUUGUCCAUAAGUAGUAUCAGAUGGUUAUGCUAAACUACAAAAAUUGUUUUCUUUUUUACUCUUGUCAGAGUCAUGGUUUUUUUGUUCAGUAAUGAUUUUUGUUACAUUGACACCAUCUAUUUUCCACACGUAACACUGUUGAUCAGUUCAGCGGAGAACGUUCUCCAGUCAUACUCCGUCUGGAUGAUGAGCAGGUGAUAAAAGGUCUCAAGGAGGUUUUGAGUGGCAUGAAGGUUGGAGGUUGGAUCAAUGAGGUUCAUGAAGAGAGAUUCGGUAGUUUUGGAUAUGAGGUUCCAAUGGCUGCUACUUCAAACUACUUUGCUUUUUUUGUUUGUAUUAGCUUAGGAUGUAUUCAAACAUUAACCCAAACUUAUGGAUGUUGGAUGAUUAUUGAAUGAAUGUGUUUUUGAGAAUUUAAA